CAAGCGUCUGGGGUAAGGAGUCGCUGCCAUCAGCCCCACUGAUGAGUCUAAGCAGUGACUCCGAGACGAAACGCAAU
rnacentral:hammerhead_ribozyme from 17 species